AUUGAACGCUGGCGGCAUGCUCUACACAUGCAAGUCGAACGGUAACAGGCCGCAAGGUGCUGACGAGUGGCGAACGGGUGAGUAAUGCAUCGGAACGUGCCCAGUCGUGGGGGAUAACUACUCGAAAGAGUAGCUAAUACCGCAUACGAUCUAUGGAUGAAAGCGGGGGAUCGUAAGGCCUCGCGCGAUUGGAGCGGCCGAUGUCAGAUUAGGUAGUUGGUGGGGUAAAGGCUCACCAAGCCAACGAUCUGUAGCUGGUCUGAGAGGACGACCAGCCACACUGGGACUGAGACACGGCCCAGACUCCUACGGGAGGCAGCAGUGGGGAAUUUUGGACAAUGGGCGCAAGCCUGAUCCAGCAAUGCCGCGUGCAGGAAGAAGGCCUUCGGGUUGUAAACUGCUUUUGUACGGAACGAAACGGCUCUGGUUAAUACCCGGGGCUAAUGACGGUACCGUAAGAAUAAGCACCGGCUAACUACGUG
rnacentral:rRNA from 1 species